rnacentral:rRNA from 1 species
AUCGACCGCUGGAGGCAGGCCUAACCCAUGCAAGUCGUACACGUGGCAAACGGGUGUGCAACGUCUGGGAAACUGCCUGAUGGCGGGGGUUAACGACUGAAAACUGUAGCUAAUACCGCAUACCAACGGAUUUGCCCAGAUGGGAUUCGCUAGUCGGUGGGGUAACGGCUCAGCUAGGCGACGAUCCCUAGCUGGUGUGAGCGGAUGACCAGCCACACGGGAACUGAGACACGGUCCAUCCGCCUACGGGAGGCAGCAGUGGGGAAUAUUGCACAAUGGGCGCAAGCCUGAUGCAGCCAUGCCGAGUGUAUGAAGAAGGCCUGCGGGUUGUAAAGUACUUUCAGCGGGGAGGCGUUACCCGCAGGAGAAGCACCGGCUAACUCCGUGCCAGCAGCCGCGGUAAUAC